rnacentral:lncRNA from 1 species
CUUUCUUGAACCAAGAACAAAUGAAAUAGUGCAAAUUUUGGAGGUGGGUUAGCAAGAAUCGAUUUCACACAGUUGAAGGUGAGCUUUAUAAAUUGAAAAUUAUAGAUUUGUUGUUAUUUUCUAGUUGUAUACUAUGAGAAAAAUCAAUUGGGUAAUUAAAAUUUGCUGUAAAAUAUUGAAACGGAAUGGUGCCGUUUCUCAGUAGUUGGGUGCCCUUUUUUCCCAGCUGACUACCGUUUUAAUAAGACAAUGGAGGUAUUGAUAUACCUGUUGGCAAAUUAGUUGUUUCUCCAUUCUUUUAUAGCAUUUUAUUAUCAUAAAUAAAUUUAAACGGCACAUACACAUUUUAAACUACGAAAUAUCGUUUUAUUCUGCUGAAAUCUGUUAUGUAACAAUAUAAGUAGCCUUUUGUUUGUUAUUGAAGUUGUGAUUUAUAGUAUUCAGUUUUGACAAUUAAUGGAGUAAUAUAUUAUAUAUUUUUUUGUUGAAUUGCAGAUAUGGACUCUGGUGCAAUGAUUGUUAUUUGUUAUUUUGUUAAAUUUGAAAAGAGUGAUGAAGGUGAAUGGAGUUGGAAAUUGAUAGGGAAUGAUGAAGACACCGCAACAAAUAUUUUUGUAUCAAAAACAAUCUCAUAUGCAGAGUUGUAUAACGAAGUCCGAAAAGCAGUUAAGGUUGAUCCCAAUAUGUAUG